rnacentral:rRNA from 1 species
AGCGAACGCUGGCGGCAGGCUUAACACAUGCAAGUCGAGCGGGCCUUUCGGGGUCAGCGGCGGACGGGUGAGUAACGCGUGGGAACGUGCCCUCUGGUUCGGAAUAACUCAGGGAAACUUGAGCUAAUACCGGAUACGCCCUUUUGGGGAACGGCUUGCUGCCGGAGGAUCGGCCCGCGUCUGAUUAGCUAGUUGGUGAGGUAACGGCUCACCAAGGCGACGAUCAGUAGCUGGUCUGAGAGGAUGAUCAGCCACACUGGGACUGAGACACGGCCCAGACUCCUACGGGAGGCAGCAGUGGGGAAUAUUGGACAAUGGGCGCAAGCCUGAUCCAGCCAUGCCGCGUGAGUGAUGAAGGCCUUAGGGUUGUAAAGCUCUUUUAUCCGGGACGAUAAUGACGGUACCGGAGGAAUAAGCCCCGGCUAACUUCGUG